rnacentral:lncRNA from 1 species
AUGAUCAUCAACAUCACACACUCAACACUGACUGUAAUGUUAUCAUCUAAAAACUCCAGAAAAUCAAUAACCAGGACAAAUAUAAUGUAUCAUGAUCAGGUUUAAACUCAUCAAAUUAGUAAACAUAUAUGAAUGAAUGAAGAGACAGAGACUGUGUGUGUGUGUGUGUGUGCGUGUGUGUGUGUGUGUGUGUGUGUGUGUGUGUGUGUGUGUGUGUACUAACAUUUAUGUCGGUGUGGGUUCCCAUCGGUGGGAGCACAUCCACCUAAGGAGUUCCAAAAUCGGAGUGGGGCCCAAAAUGGUGGGCCCCAAUCCGAUUUCAAUUAAAAUAAGCUCAGCAGCUUCCCCUGAUGCUACCAUUGCUUUUUUUUUCAUCUCUAAAAAGUGGCCCGUAAGGUAGCAAAAAGUGGGUAAGUGUGUGAAGGUGUGUAUGGUCGAGCCUUUUUUAACCGGAAGUCAGGAUAUACACUUCCCGCGAAUUCAAAUACACACCGCGGGAAUCUGAAACCUUUGGCCAAUGAAAUUACUGCACUGUAUAAUUAGGCGCGAAAGUAAGGAAAACUGCGGAAAUUGCACAAGAAGAAGUAGAAGAAGAAGAAGAAGACUUCAAGGAUUGAAGAUUGAAGACAGAAGAAGACGGAGUGGUUGAAAAUCUGAAUAUUUUUACAAAUACCGACCUCUGAUGCAACAGGGCCAUUAUGUCCACAAGGAGGAUGAGGAAAAAGCCUAUAGAUGAUGCAAAGACAUACAUUCUGUCUUGCACUGACAAGGAUGGGUUUAUGCCAAGAUUCAUUGACCAUUACAAAGGAAGAGGAGUGUUUGCCACACACCCCAUUGAACCCGGGGACUUCGUGUUGGAGUACAGGGGUAAACUCCUCACACAGGUGGAAUGACAACCACAAAAANNNNNNNNNNNNNNNNNNNNNNNNNNNNNNNNNNNNNNNNNNNNNNNNNNNNNNNNNNNNNNNNNNNNNNNNNNNNNNNNNNNNNNNNNNNNNNNNNNNNAGAUAACGGUCACUGCGAAGGUGCAGUGAAGGGCAGAUAACGUCACUGCGAAGGUGCAGUGAAGGGCAGAUAAGGUCACUGCGAAGGUGCAGUGAAGGGCAGAUAACGGUCACUGCGAAGGUGCAGUGAAGGGCAGAUAACGUUCACUGCGAAGGUGCAGUGAAGGGUAACGUCGAAGGUGCAGUGAAGGGCAGAUAACGUUCACUGCGAAGGUGCAGUGAAGUGAAAGGGCAGAUAACGUUCACUUGCGAAGGUGCAGUGAAGGGUAGAUAACGUUCACUGCGAAGGUGCAGUGAAGGGCAGAUAACGGUCACUGCGAAGGUGCAGUGAAGGGCAGAUAACGGUCACUGCGAAGGUGCACUGAAGGGUAGAUAACUGUAACUGAAGUAGUAUUGACAAAGGCACUAACAUAAAGAGAACAACUCUAGAUUUUAGACAUGGCCCUUGCAUUGUAAAGUUGCUACAUAGCCACUUCAUCUACUUAGCACCAUGUUUUACUCUUCCACUGAAAAUCAAAAAGAAAACCUUUGCAGAACUCAUUGUAUCAUAUAGUUUGGAGCUCUGCCUGGCAGCUGUGACAGUAGUUUCCCUUCAGGUACUCCACAACAAAGUCACCUUUGAAUAGGACGUUCAGUGGGCAAAAAAACCCUGGGGCCUGUUCUUCGUACGUAGCUAACUCAGUUAGCUGGAUUUGAUUGUUGACGAUUUGGCGUGAUCUUGGAUCGUUUGGGUUUCUUCGAAGCUCAUUCCGGAGCUGCUGUCAUAGCAACAGGUCCGUUAGCUUAAACCUGCUCGGGAGCAGCUUAUUUCAUGUAAACAGGAUUAGAAUCGCUUCUUUUCAACCAGAACUGAUACUCAAAAUAUGUCUGCUAGCACCCGCUAGUUUAUUACAAGAGUAUCGUAACUGAUCCAGGGACAAUAAUUAAAAAAUAAUAAUCAUUAAAAAAAAUUUUUUUUAAAUAAUAUAAAAAUGCUGUGUAGUACAUAACAGCCUGCUAUAGACACAGCCAGUUUUACUCACUGAAAUAUUUGUCAAAGUUUAUUCUUACAACCAUGCUAUACAGAUAAUAGAGUCGUGCAUUAUUUUGAGUGAUGACUGCUAUUAUUCGAAGUGGCUUGAUGGAAGCGCAGGGAGAUGCAGAUAACAUGAG